rnacentral:rRNA from 1 species
UACGUAGGGGGCUAGCGUUGUCCGGAAUCAUUGGGCGUAAAGAGCGUGUAGGCGGCCCGGUAAGUCCGCUGUGAAAGUCGGGGGCUCAACCCUCGAAUGCCGGUGGAUACUGUCGGGCUAGAGUGCGGAAGAGGCGAGUGGAAUUCCUGGUGUAGCGGUGAAAUGCGUAGAUAUCUGGAGGAACACCGGUGGCGAAGGCGGCAUCCUGGACCAAUUCUGACGCUGAGGAGCGAAAGCCAGGGGAGCAAACGGG